AGAGUUUGAUCCUGGCUCAGGACGAACGCUGGCGGCGUGCUUAACACAUGCAAGUCGAACGAGAAUCUACUGAAAGAGUUUUCGGACAAUGGAAGUAGAGGAAAGUGGCGGACGGGUGAGUAACGCGUGAGGAACCUGCCUUGAAGAGGGGGACAACAGUUGGAAACGACUGCUAAUACCGCAUGACGCAUAGAGGUCGCAUGAUCUUUAUGCCAAAGAUUUAUCGCUUCAAGAUGGCCUCGCGUCUGAUUAGCUGGUUGGCGGGGUAACGGCCCACCAAGGCGACGAUCAGUAGCCGGACUGAGAGGUUGAACGGCCACAUUGGGACUGAGAUACGGCCCAGACUCCUACGGGAGGCAGCAGUGGGGAAUAUUGGGCAAUGGGCGCAAGCCUGACCCAGCAACGCCGCGUGAAGGAAGAAGGCUUUCGGGUUGUAAACUUCUUUUAAGAGGGAAGAGCAGAAGACGGUACCUCUAGAAUAAGCCACGGCUAACUACGUGCCAGCAGCCGCGGUAAUACGUAGGUGGCAAGCGUUGUCCGGAUUUACUGGGUGUAAAGGGCGUGCAGCCGGGUCUGCAAGUCAGAUGUGAAAUCCAUGGGCUCAACCCAUGAACUGCAUUUGAAACUGUAGAUCUUGAGUGUCGGAGGGGCAAUCGGAAUUCCUAGUGUAGCGGUGAAAUGCGUAGAUAUUAGGAGGAACACCAGUGGCGAAGGCGGAUUGCUGGACGAUAACUGACGGUGAGGCGCGAAAGUGUGGGGAGCAAACAGGAUUAGAUACCCUGGUAGUCCACACUGUAAACGAUGAAUACUAGGUGUGCGGGGACUGACCCCCUGCGUGCCGCAGUAAACACAAUAAGUAUUCCACCUGGGGAGUACGAUCGCAAGGUUGAAACUCAAAGGAAUUGACGGGGGCCCGCACAAGCGGUGGAUUAUGUGGUUUAAUUCGAAGCAACGCGAAGAACCUUACCAGGGUUUGACAUCCUGCUAACGAAGUAGAGAUACAUUAGGUGCCCUUCGGGGAAAGCAGAGACAGGUGGUGCAUGGUUGUCGUCAGCUCGUGUCGUGAGAUGUUGGGUUAAGUCCCGCAACGAGCGCAACC
rnacentral:rRNA from 1 species